GCCAUUCUGCGAGGCCUUGAUCAAGGCUCAUCCAGCGACGUUUGCUGAAGUCAGGCGACUUGCGGUGGCCCACAUCGCCGACGAGAGUGAAGUCGCCGAGAAGAGAGGCAGCGUGGCUCCCGCCAGGCCACGCGCCCAGACCAGGAUCCAGCCGCAGAGGGUGCUGGAAACGGCGGCGGCGGCCAGAAAAGACCAGAGGACUCGCCAUCCUUACGACAGGAGAAACAAGGGAAGAAGCCAAGCGCGCCAACAACCAGCACGCCAGCAACCAGCACGCCGGGAGUACAAUCGCCCGCCUAAGCACAA
rnacentral:lncRNA from 1 species